CAGAAACGUAGAACGCGUUGAAAUGCAGACGCAAAGCCCUAACCUUUCCUCUCGCGCUCCCACACCUCCACCGGCGGACCGUCGCCAUCCUCUCGCCCUCAGAAACGCUCCUCCUGUGAUCUCCCUGAGCAAAAUCGAGCCGGCGACACCUCCGUCGGCGACGCCGAAAUGCAGUGCUCGCACCACGUAGGAAACGCAUCACUGCCUCCUCCGAGCCAGUUCUCCUACUCCUUCGCAGAAAACGCAUCAGUCGACGAAAUCCAUAUAGUUUCAGAUCUGCCUACUCCUCCGCAGAUCUGCCUCCUCCGAGCCCUCGCCCUGUCUCAAGAUCCUCAACCUUUGGUACUGGUCAAAUGCAAAUUUUGGUACUGCUGCCGCUUUAGCUACACGUUUAAAUAUGUUGAACUAUCAAGUAUCGAUUGAAUUGCUUAAUUUGUGUUUCCCAUUUAUGCUUAUUUGAUGCAAUUCAAGUCACAUGUAAUUGGGUUAUCAAUUUUUGGGAUUCUUCCAAUCUUUCUUUGGUUUGUACCAUCUAUAGUUUCAUAUUGAAGUUCUAGCUUGUUGUCUUUGCUUGAUGAAAGUCUAAACAUCUUUGAUGUCAUCUUAUACACGCUGUACAAUAAAAUUUGUUAUUAAUGUGUUUACAAAGUUUAGACAAAGUUUAAAAGUAAUUUCAUGCCCCUGGAUUAUUGCUUCAUAUGUUUGUUUGAUGACUAAGAGGGUAUCUGUACACCUCAUAUUUCAAGUAUGGAUUUAUGCUAGUUGAGUGUGUUAUGUAACCAUGAAACAAGACCAACUCACCUGAUCAUUUGUUUAGUUGAGUGUGUUAUUUGCUCACUUGUAGAUUACAUGACAUGGGAGAAAGUGGAAGUUUCUGUGAGCGCUGUAAUUCUUUGACAGAAUUGAGACAUUUUAAGUAAAACGAAAGAAAUAUCAUGGCAGCCGGCUCUUCAUCAGCAUCAUCUUUCACUUGACGACGCAUGGACGACGAGCAAUGUGAAGCUCCCCAUAUAUUAUGUUAUUGUGGGUUACAAACUAUUCUCCAGACUUCAUGGACGGAAUCCAACCCAGGACGGCGAUUUUUUUCAUGUCCAAAUUUUAGAAAAAGAGGAUGUGACUUUUUCUUAUGACAUAACCUAGAACCGUCAGAGAGAAGUAAGAUAAUUAUUAAUGAGUUGAAGAGGAAUAAUAAAAAAUUAAUGUUGCAGAUUAGUGAAUUGGAGAAAAGUGUUAGCUAUGAGGGUGUUGUUGAAUAUAAUGAUGUUCUGAAUGAUGGAACAACAAUCAUGUAAUUAUGCAGUUUAAUGACGAAAUACGUUCAUUGAAUAGGAAAUUUAGAAUUGCUAUCGGUGUAGUUGUAUGUACUUGGAUUAUGAUGAUGGGGAUGUGGUUGAUGUAACUUAUUUUGUAAUGUAACUUGACAUUUUGAUGUAACUCUAAGUGAUGUAACUUGUUUUGUUAUACAAAGUGAACUAGUUCUGUUA